rnacentral:tRNA from 1 species
UUUACAGGGAGACCGUACCCUACAGAAGGCCGAAAAGCUGGAAAGCAGGUCAAAGUAGAGGUCAAACCCAGGUCGAGCGAGGCAGCAAAAACUGGCUUUCAAACUAAGAAAGGUUCGGCAAGCAAUCCUAACUUGCCAAAAUGGGCUAUUAGCUCAGGUGGUUAGAGCGCACCCCUGAUAAGGGUGAGGUCCCUGGUUCGAGUCCAGGAUGGCCCACCUCAAGGGCAAGAAAAAGAAACAGGGAUCUAGUGUGGAAAGAGCAAUAGAUCCGAGCCGAGCCAAGUUGGGCCAAAUUAACAGCACCUCCCCAGCCAUCAGGCGAGUGAGAAUGCUGGUAUUUUAACCAGCCAGAACCUGGAAAACUGCAUAGCCAUCACAAGCCAAACAAAAACAGUUGCAGAUAGAAAAUCAAAAACUAUCUACAACCGAGCCAAGAAUAAAGAUCGAGCCAACAG